rnacentral:tRNA from 2 species
GGGUCGAUGCCCGAGUGGUUAAUGGGGGCGGACUGUAAAUCCGCUGGUUUACACCUACGCUGGUUCAAAUCCAGCUCGGCCCA